UCGUGUAUCCCUCCGCCACUGCGAUUUCUGCUACUUCCGCGAUUUCUGCUACUUCUGCGAUUUCUGUGACUUACCACCGUAUGAAAAAGUUACAUCUGUCAACACAGAAAAUUGCAUCUCAACAAACCUGUCAUUGGCAAGUACCUGAACUACAUUUCAGUCACUCAGUAAAGCCAUAAUUCAAAAUAUCGUUGUCAACAGAUCUGAAGAAAUUGCCACUGCGUCUUUAGACCGUUUUCGUCAGACGAGAGGUUAGUUUCUAAGCGUUUCGAUGGACUUAAUUACUUCAGUGAGAUCGUGCUUGCAAAUGUGACAUUCAUUAUAGCAAAUAUUAGCAAUCCACUCUGUCAAUUAUAUUGCUAGUAAUUAGUGACAGCAAAAAUUGUUUAAUACUCCUUGUGUUUUUGCAGACGCAGUUCUGACUGAUUACUGGUUGCUGGUACGUAUCUAUCCACAUCAAGGCUGUUGAGAGAGACUCGUGAAGAUUCAAGACAGCUCUUAGAGGAUUUGCAGUUUAAAAGUGAAAUAAGUGUGUGAGUGAUUAAACUGUGUUUUAUUGAAGUUGUUGUGCGAUUUUAAACGAAUAAUAAAUGUUAAAUACAGUGAGUGAAUAAUAAAAAUCUCAUUUUCCACAUGUUAA